UACGGAGGGUGCGAGCGUUGUCCGGAAUCACUGGGCGUAAAGGGCGCGUAGGCGGCCUGAUAAGUAGGGGGUGAAAUCCUGCGGCUUAACCGCAGGGCUGCCUUCUAAACUGUCAGGCUCGAGCACAGUAGAGGCAGGUGGAAUUCCCGGUGUAGCGGUGGAAUGCGUAGAGAUCGGGAAGAACAUCAGUGGCGAAGGCGGCCUGCUGGGCUGUUGCUGACGCUGAGGCGCGACAGCGUGGGGGAGCAAACAGGGA
rnacentral:rRNA from 1 species